rnacentral:piRNA from 1 species
UGAUUAUAUUUACAAAUCCUAACACUACACAU